AUGAUGGCAAAGUCCGCAGUGACGCCUCUCUGCUGGUUCAACACACACUUACUGAGCUCUAACGCGGGGCGGGGGGGAAGAGGGGGGCUAUCAGAGGCGGCGCUUGCUGCCUCAUUCUUAGAGCAAGCCUGGUUUCACAGCCCCUCCUGCUUCCACAAGGGCUUUUUCCACAGCAACGUGCAGGCCUGUGUCUCCUCUCCUGCCUGUUCACGGGAGCGCAGGAAUCCCACGUGCAGGCCACACCUCCAGGAUUGGAGAUUGCUUUUCAACAUGAGAUUUGGAUGUGGACACAGAUCCAAACUACAUCACCUACCUCAAGGCUGGAGUGCAAUGGCACGAUCUCGGCUCACUGCAACCUCUACCUCCUGGAUUCAAGCAAUCCUCUUGCCUCAGCCUCCUAUGCAGCUGGGAUUACAGGGACUGUGCAGUGACCACUCUGUUACAAUGCAACCACAUGGAACUCAUUCCUGCUUUCUCUAACCCCAUCAAUUGGAAGGGAACUCUGAUGGGGUAGUAUCAUGGGCCCCAAUGAAUGACUCACUGCAUAGGUCUUCUUUGUUUCUCACUCCCCUUUCACUGGUUUGACAAUCUGCUUGUUGCCACCCCUCUUCUCUCUGAGAUCUAUGAGUAAUAAACUGCUUUUGUUUUUUUCAUGUGUUUUUGUUGUGCUGUCUUCUCUGCGCCUCACCUGACUGACACACACAGACCUAAUUUUACUCCCAGUGAAAGCUCUCCUAAAGAGUGGCUAUCUUGGCAGGAAUAAACUGAGCACAAGUCAGACAAGAGCCUCAAGGGCAGAUGCCAGUAUAAACAAGUUUCCUAGGAGAGGGACACCUGACCAUGGGUCAGCUACCUCGGCAUUAGGCCAUCUGCUAAAAUAAAGAAGUAUCCUGUGAAAGGCACAGUGUAAAUACCCACAAACAAGCCCCUGAAACCUGAUCAGGGCAGGGCUAGAGUUUAUACUCCCUCUGCAGAGAAAGAUUUCAAGACCAAAUUUAGGAGAAAAACAAUGUAACUUGUAGGUCUUGGAAAACCAGUAACGAUGUUAUCCCUAUUUUCUUUCGUUCUUCUCUUUGAAAUUAACAUG
rnacentral:lncRNA from 1 species